rnacentral:lncRNA from 1 species
UGGAAUGCUCACAUGCCUGGUGUCUCUUGAGACUCAGAUCUUGGACUCAGUCCUUUCAUCUUCAGAGGAACUUUCCAGAGCUCCUAGUCUCCACGUGCCAGCCUCAGGACUUUAUCACAGUAGCCUCUAAAUGUUCUUGUCUACUCAUUCGUGUGCUUUAAAUUUUCUGUUGAUGAGAUCACACACUCCAUGGAAACCAAGAUCUUGCCUAUUUUGUUCAUCACUGCCACCAGUUGCCUAAGCCAGUGUCUAGCACAGAGAGGGCAUCUGGAGAGUGUUUGUUAAAUGAAUAUGUGAUCGACAACAGUCACGAAGCAGCUACAUGGAGUGUUUAUUAACAGCCAACACUGUCCUGAUCCUUCACACGCAUUUUCUCACAAUUCUUCUCAGCAACUCAGAUUCCUCAAGGAAUGCUGAUUUGUCCCCAUUUUACAGAGGGUAGAGUGGAGACCAGGAAACGUGAGCCCUGCAGGCACACCGCGCCACAGCUAUGAUUUUCACUCAAGCCCAUCUGACUGGGAAGCCCCCAUUUGCAAGAGAUGGGGAAACUGGAAGAUGUGACCAUGCCUAUUCAUGACCCUAAGGGAUAAUGACAAUGUUCUCACUAAGGGACAAAGAACCAGGACAAGAAAGGUAACAGAACCACACCAGCCUCAGUUUCUCCGAGGACCUACGCAACAGUGGAGGCAUUGUCAUCUGUGUCCAAUUCCAAGAAAUGUUCAAGAAGGAAGAGCAGACUGACCGCCUGCACGUUUCUGAGGGAGUCCAUGGGAGGGCACCAGGGCAUAGCUUGUUCUGGAACCCCGGCGAGGCGGCGCUGCUGUCAUUUGGUCCGGCCACAUUCUCAAGAUCCAGGCUUCACAGUUACCAGUUCUGAGAGUGGGGAGACUUGGUUACCUGCCAUCGUGAGACCCGUUUGGAACCCUGGAACUCUGGGACCCACCGCAGCCACCAGGCCAAGCUCCUCACCCAACCCUUGAAACCAAACCAAAAAGCAGAAUAUGCCUUCCUCCACUUCUUAAACAUGUUUGUAGUGGGAAACUGGAUGCAAAUGAACAGAAUGGCUCAGUAUGGAUAUGGGCAUAUGUUUAUUAAAAAAAAAUAAAAUAAAAUAAAGCUGGUAAGACAAGGCAU